rnacentral:rRNA from 1 species
UACGAGGGGGGCGAGCGUUGUUCGGAAUUAUUGGGCGUAAAGGGUGCGUAGGCGGUUGGGUAAGUCGGGUGUGAAAACUCUGGGCUCAACUCAGAGACGCCACCCGAUACUGCUCUGACUUGAGUCCGGUAGGGGAGUGGGGAAUUCCUGGUGUAGCGGUGAAAUGCGCAGAUAUCAGGAGGAACACCGAUGGCGAAGGCAGGUCUCUGGGCCAUUACUGACACUGAGAAGCGAAAGCAUAGGGAGCGAACAGG